GAUCUGGCUCAGGAUGAACGCUAGCUACAGGCUUAACACAUGCAAGUCGAGGGGCAGCAUGGUCUUAGCUUGCUAAGGCCGAUGGCGACCGGCGCACGGGUGAGUAACACGUAUCCAACCUGCCGUCUACUCUUGGGCAGCCUUCUGAAAUGAAGAUUAAUACAAGAUGGCAUCAUGAGUCCGCAUGUUCACAUGAUUAAAGGUAUUCCGGUAGACGAUGGGGA
rnacentral:rRNA from 1 species